ACGAACGCUGGCGGCGUGCUUAACACAUGCAAGUCGUACGGUAAGGCCCUUUCGGGGGUACACGAGUGGCGAACGGGUGAGUAACACGUGAGUAACCUGCCCACAACUUUGGGAUAACGCUAGGAAACUGGUGCUAAUACUGGAUAUGUGCUCCUGCUGCAUGGUGGGGGUUGGAAAGCUCCGGCGGUUGUGGAUGGACUCGCGGCCUAUCAGCUUGUUGGUGGGGUAGUGGCCUACCAAGGCGGCGACGGGUAGCCGGCCUGAGAGGGUGACCGGCCACAUUGGGACUGAGAUACGGCCCAGACGCCUACGGGAGGCAGCAGUGGGGAAUAUUGCACAAUGGGCGCAAGCCUGAUGCAGCAACGCCGCGUGCGGGAUGACGGCCUUCGGGUUGUAAACCGCUUUCAGCAGGGACGAAGCUUUUUGUGACGGUACCUGCAGAAGAAGCACCGGCUAACUACGUG
rnacentral:rRNA from 1 species